UUAGAAUUUGCGACGCAGGAAGCAUGGAAGUAUGGAAGGUAAUAAAAACUACUCUUACUGGAAAAAAAAAAAGAAAGGAGAGACAGAAGGUGCCGAACGUUUGGAAAACGUAACUUGACGCUGUUGUAAGGCUGGCCAGUUGCCUAAGGGUAAAAGGUCGAGUGUAAAGUGAUAACUGACAUGUUCCUCUUAAGUUAAACGUAUUCUGCGCUUUGUCUACCUCCGGACAGGAUUCUUUCGUUGAUGCAUGUAUUUUCGAAUAGGCCGAUCGUUAUUUUCGUGAAGACUUGCGAGAGGAAGAGACCUGAUAUUUUAUAACUGCAUCUGCAUUCACAGCGUUGUUCUUGAAAAGAUAUAAUCGACGAUUUAUCGGCAGCGUAGUUGGUGUUAUAAAAGAUCCACAGCCCCACCUGCUGAGCGACGAUUCAUAAACCCAAUGGUAUGCGAGCCAAGUUACUCGUAAACGCAAACAAGCGACAGACUAAUAUCGCAGAUUAAUUGGCGUUAUCCAAUAAGUAAGUUGGUCUAUUAAUUGAAUGUUUCGUGCAGU
rnacentral:lncRNA from 1 species